UACGUAGGGGGCGAGCGUUGUCCGGAAUUACUGGGCGUAAAGCGUGCGCAGGCGGUUUUGUAAGUCUGUCGUGAAAUCCCCGGGCUCAACCUGGGAAUUGCGAUGGAGACUGCAAGGCUAGAAUCUGGCAGAGGGGGGUAGAAUUCCACGUGUAGCAGUGAAAUGCGUAGAGAUGUGGAGGAAUACCGAUGGCGAAGGCAGCCCCCUGGGAUAACACUGACGCUCAUGCACGAAAGCGUGGGGAGCAAACAGG
rnacentral:rRNA from 1 species